rnacentral:tRNA from 1 species
GCUUUCGUGGUAUAAUGGUCCGCACACUCGACGCGUAUUCGAGAGAUCCGAGGUUCGAAUUCCGGCGAGAGCA